AUUAUUUUAGAAUUUGAAGAAAUUUCUUCUACAACAAGAAGAGGAUCUUUACCGUCUCAGCCACAACCUUCUGGUUGUGCUUGAAAAAUAUGGAGUUCAACUAUGUUUUUUGAAGUCAUAUGUGACUUAUAUUUUGUGACUACUCAAUGGUCAAACAAUAUAUAUUUUGUCCUGUGGAUUUUGAAGAUAUUCAAGCUAGCCAAAUUUUGAACAUUUUGAGGCCAUGCAGGAACAACUUG